rnacentral:rRNA from 1 species
AUUGAACGCUGGCGGCAGGCCUAACACAUGCAAGUCGAACGAGUGGCGGACGGGUGAGUAAUGUCUGGGACACUGCUCGAUGAAUGGGGAUAAUUACUGGAAACGGUAGCUAAUACCGCAUACCAUCGGAUGUGCCCAGAUGGGAUUAUCCAGUAGGUGGGGUACCGGCUUACCUAUGCGACGAUCCCUAGCUGGUCUGAGAGGAUGACCAGCCACACUGGAACUGAGACACGGUCCAGACUCCUACGGGAGGCAGCAGUAGGGAAUCUUGCACAAUGGGCGCAAGCCUGAUGGAGCAACGCCGCGUGUAUGAAGAAGGCCUUCGGGUUGUAAAGUACUUUCAGUGAGGAGGCGUUACUCGCAGAAGAAGCACCGGCUAACUCCGUGCCAGCAGCCGCGGUAAUAC